GAUGAACGCUGGCGGCGUGCCUAAUACAUGCAAGUCGAGCGAACGGACGAGAAGCUUGCUUCUCUGAUGUUAGCGGCGGACGGGUGAGUAACACGUGGAUAACCUACCUAUAAGACUGGGAUAACUUCGGGAAACCGGAGCUAAUACCGGAUAAUAUUUUGAACCGCAUGGUUCAAAAGUGAAAGACGGUCUUGCUGUCACUUAUAGAUGGAUCCGCGCUGCAUUAGCUAGUUGGUAAGAUAACGGCUUACCAAGGCAACGAUGCAUAGCCGACCUGAGAGGGUGAUCGGCCACACAGGAACUGAGACACGGUCCAGACUCCUACGGGAGGCAGCAGUAGGGAAUCUUCCGCAAUGGGCGAAAGCCUGACGGAGCAACGCCGCGUGAGUGAUGAAGGUCUUCGGAUCGUAAAACUCUGUUAUUAGGGAAGAACAUAUGUGUAAGUAACUGUGCACAUCUUGACGGUACCUAAUCAGAAAGCCACGGCUAACUACGU
rnacentral:rRNA from 1 species